AUGAACGCUGGCGGCGUGCCUCAUACAUGCAAGUCGAGCGAACAGACGAGGAGCUUGCUCCUCUGACGUUAGCGGCGGACGGGUGAGUAACACGUGGAUAACCUACCUAUAAGACUGGGAUAACUUCGGGAAACCGGAGCUAAUACCGGAUAAUAUAUUGAACCGCAUGGUUCAAUAGUGAAAGACGGUUUUGCUGUCACUUAUAGAUGGAUCCGCGCCGCAUUAGCUAGUUGGUAAGGUAACGGCUUACCAAGGCAACGAUGCGUAGCCGACCUGAGAGGGUGAUCGGCCACACUGGAACUGAGACACGGUCCAGACUCCUACGGGAGUCAGCAGUAGGGAAUCUUCCGCAAUGGGCGAAAGCCUGACGGAGCAACGCCGCGUGAGUGAUGAAGGUCUUCGGAUCGUAAAACUCUGUUAUUAGGGAAGAACAAAUGUGUAAGUAACUAUGCACGUCUUGACGGUACCUAAUCAGAAAGCCACGGCUAACUACGUG
rnacentral:rRNA from 1 species